CAGCGCGGGAUGCAGGAGCCGUUGCUGGCACUCGGGACCGGCCUUCCGAGGCUAUAAAGCAGUGGGCCAAGGGCCGGCGCCCUUCUUCCCCUCCUAACCUAGCCGUUGUUAGCACCAAAGGCGAGGAAAGGAUGUGUGUCCGCCGUCGCCGUUGUGGUAUUCGACCAGGGCGCCGUCUGGGGACCGAGUUCGUGCUGUGGAGGUGUGCGCCGCCUCGUGGAAGUGGUUCCGGUCAACAAUCGGGUGCGGGCGACAGUGGAUUGAAGGAAAUUUGACGCCGGAGACAACACGCCGCCGCGAAUCCACCUAUCACCGUGGGCAGAGCUUCGCCGCGGGUAAUUUUAGGUGAAGACCUCUCCUAUAGCUUCGAAAUUAUCCUCGCAUCGUGUAGAUAUACGUGGAGAGGAACCUUUCAGGCUCGGAAUUGCGGUCUGGCCAAGUCCGACGAUGUCGCCGCUGUGGCCGCUCUGGUCGCUGCCGGCCUCCACCGAAUAGGAUAGGGGAGAGGUGCGCCGACCGUCGAUCUAGGGAGGUACG
rnacentral:lncRNA from 7 species